UACGUAGGGUGCGAGCGUUUGUCCGGAAUUAUUGGGCGUAAAGGGCUCGUAGGCGGUUUGUCGCGUCGGGAGUGAAAACCCAGGGCUUAACCCUGGGCUGGCUUCCGAUACGGGCAGACUAGAGGUAUGCAGGGGAGAACGGAAUUCCUGGUGUAGCGGUGGAAUGCGCAGAUAUCAGGAGGAACACCGAUGGCGAAGGCAGAUCUCUGGGCCGUAACUGACGCUGAGGAGCGAAAGCGUGGGGAGCAAACAGG
rnacentral:rRNA from 1 species